CUAUAAUUAUAAGUACAUAUUUAUUGUUACACUUCCAAACAUGACGUUCGGCAAAUGUAACUGUUUGACGCAACUUAUACAUUUGUAGAGUAAAAAAGUUAUGUAUCAUUGAAAUCAUUUUAUUCAGAGUAUCAUAGUACCUAAUCCAUGCGAGAAUAAAACAAUAUACUGAAUAACGAUACACCCGGACAUACAUUCGGGACCGUAAAAUUUACAUUUAGCACUUAAAGUCUGGGCGACAGUUUAUGACAAGGAAUGCCUUGAUAAACGAACUGGUGUUCAUUGUACGCCGGCUACGUCUACAGCGACUAUACGAUAAGUGCGAGCGUGAAGGGACGCUCUGUGGGAGAGUUGUAAAGUUCUCAAUCACGCUGGCGUCUGGAGCGACGUUGCCGGGCCGCACACAGGCGACCGGGUUUCAUUCAUAUUUGAGACGCGACGUUGCCGUCUCCGGCGGAAACCGCGUAAAAAAGGGCCUGAGGAAUGUGGCGGUACUGCUGAGCGGUUCUAAUGCCGAAUAAAAAGUGGCAGGAAUGCGGACAGUACUUAAGUACAAGUACUUGCUUUAGUGUACCAGGAGGUGUUGGCAAAUUUUCGUAUUCUAACUACCCACAUACCACGUAGUGAGAUGACAAAAUGGGCAUUGCAUUUCAAAAAAUUGCAAUCAAAGUCCAGUUUACUCGCACUAAGAGCAAAUGAAAUUCAGCAUUGUGGCUAUAAGAGAGCGGCGAGAGGCGGCGCCCUGAGAGUAAGCAGCGUGGGGACGGGGACGGGGCCGCGUUCUCAUGACUUUGGGUGGUCGGCGCUCGGCUUUCGAAUUCCAUUCCCUCGCCUGUAGCGCCUACGCACGCAGUCUAGGUAUUAUAUAGGUACUGUUACAUUACUAUGAGGAUUUUAAAAUGAUACAGGAAUGUUAGAGAAUGAAAAUAUUACUUUGACAAUAUUACAAUUUUAUAAACCGCUUGCUAGUGAGAUAUUUAAAACUAAAUAAAAAUGUUUCAGAAUUUGAAUACACUUGCAUUCAUAACCGUCCACUAGAUUAACAGAAAACAACAAUGACGGGUGUUCAAACAAAGAAUGGUCGAGCUAUGAAGUUAUUUCUGGUUCUACUGAAAAACUCAUGAAUGAAUUUUUACAGUGCCGGUUUCGUUUACGCAUCAUAAAACAUGAAAAAAUAAAUGAAAGGAUAGAAGCGGAAAUGGUGUCAGCUGAAGUGAACAUCCGCCAGAUGGUGCAUAUGCAACGCGCGUUUAUAACAAGAGGGCCGCAGUAAUAAAACAAACUGAAUGAAAACCCAACUAAACCUUACUUAAGGUCUUAAGACGAGCUAUCUUCGAGUUCAUCAAACAAAGGGAAGAUUUCAUUAUAAAAGGAACGACUGGCUCGUGAAAUGAGAUAUGGGCGCGUGUGCAAAUUUUAAUGAGCAAAAUGGGAUUCUCAGUUGUUUCGUAUAAUCUCGGUCUGAGAAGAGGGCCUAUAAUGAAAGCCGCCAGCGCCGACCAGACAGCAGACCGCUCGUAUAUUGUAAGUACUCGGGUUCAGCCGCGGGGUAACUACAUUCCACGGCGGAGUUAACUAAAGACCGCUCCCACCGACAAAAAAAGCGCUGCGAGUUAUUUGAUAACAAAAUUAAUUUAUCAAAAAAAUACAGAUGUGUCUAUGGCUAGAUAGUGAUCUGAUUAUGUAGGCGUUCUAGGCAAUCGAUUUUAAUAAUUAUAAUGAAAUGUCUGAAAUAUUUUGUCCAGAAAUAACAUACCUGAAAACCACUGUGCAUUGCAAAUGUGUCAUCAAAUUUCAAUAUUAUUGUAUGUUUGUGACUAUGGAAAUUAACACCUAUUUAAGUACAUAAUUUAUAAAUGACUUGUUUGACUCCUGAAUAAGGUACCUACAUUUUAGGAUAUUUUCAUGAUCAGUAAUAUAGUCAUACCUAAAAAUGUAAAGUAGAUGCCUAACUUAUAGGGAUAACCCUAUCCAAAAUUUUAAUACCCAACCCAUGAUAUAGUUUGAUUUUUUUUAACUACCACCUAUGUAUGUAUUUGGCCACAUGUGUCUAUGUACUAGAAUAUCCUGUGUUGUGAGAAUACUAAAGUAUAUGCCUGCCUUAAAUGCCUUUUAUGAUUAUUAAAAUUCAUUGUUUACCAAUAUCACAAUGGUAGUGAUCCUAUUGUUUAUACAGCAGUCUAGUUGUUUAUUUACUAGUCUAUGUACAGACAAUGCAAUGUCAUGAAGCAGUAACAGAGGGCGCUACUAGUAACGUUUCAAUGAUUAUCAGUUGCCAACGGAAUAAUACUAAAAAUUAUGAGUAGUAAAGGAAAUAACGGGCAACUAACUAUUAUGCUUGAACUUUAUGUAUGUUUGUACAUUUUCAGAGCAGAAUUCAAGGAAGGAAGGAAGGAAGGAAGGAAGGAGGUAUAUUUAUCCUGUUGUAUACCAGACUUAAAGCAUCCUGUUACCAUGGAUGAAUAAUACAAUAUAACUUGUAUUGAAUAUACAGAUUGUUUUUGUAAGCCAGUUCUCCAUAAGUACUUGCCAAAUUGGUGAGGUCAUGCACCAAUUCAACAGCUAGAGGCCCCUUUUGGGUUUGACUCAUAGCCAAGGCCACUACCAAAAAUGACUUUAGGCUAUUAUAGAUAGAAUAACUACUGUGUUUAUCUUUUUGUGUUGUUUCUUUAAAGAGUUAAAAUAUGAAAAUGAUUUAAAAUAAAAGUAAGUCUUGUAAAAUUGAUUUAUAUUGUCAAAGAGCAUUUUAAAGAUUACACUGAUAUGGAUGUAUUCAACACUUCAAUGAUAAAAUGACUGAUAAUAUUUAGUACCUACUUAUCUAUAGAUUUCUUUGAAUUGAUACUAAAGUAUUAUUUUACACUCCUUGGAUUAUUCCACUAAUUGAUUACUAAUUUUACUGUUAUAGUAAAAUUCUUAGUAUCUUUUAUUUUUCUAUGUAGAUGUACCAAUGGAAAUUGAAUUUAGUAAGAACAUAAAUUUGAAAGCAAGUGAUGUCAUGGCCAUUUAAAUUUCUCAAGUAGAAGACAUCAUUCAGUUGCGUGACAACAGCUGCUUGGAGACUUGUGCCACUUGUUCCUUAACAUUUUUUUAGUUAUACUUUUUAUUAAUCUCUGUUUUGUAUCUACUUUGACAGGAUACUUUCUAGGUGUACUUUCUAGUAGCGGUGGCGAGGAAGCUUCCAAAAUCCCAAACUAAAAAUAAGUUCUGGGAAUGCGAGCAACGUUGCUAUUUGGGGUAGACGUACAAAUAAAAACACCCAGAAGUAAGGUUAAACGUCCGCCCAUAAUAUGCUGAAUAACGUCCAACAUUGCUCGCUGACGUAGCGUACGAACAUUCCGCAAUAAAGAAGCAGAAUGCUUGUAUAUAAGAAAUUCGACGUUGCCUUCGUUUCGUUCCGCACAUAUGGAAAGGUUAUCGCGCCAUACACCAUACACCUACCUCCACACAACACUCGUAUCUUCGAAACGAAAAGUAAAUUCAAAAGGACCAAAAGCGCAGCGUUCACUAGAUCAGCUGAUAAUGCUGAUAUGAAUAAAUAGGAGCAU